rnacentral:rRNA from 1 species
AUUGAACGCUGGCGGCAUGCUUUACACAUGCAAGUCGAGCGGCAGCGCGGGGCAACCUGGCGGCGAGCGGCGAACGGGUGAGUAACGCAUCGGCACGUGUCCUUGAGUGGGGGAUAACCCAGCGAAAGUUGGGCUAAUACCGCAUAAGCGCUGAGGAGGAAAGCGGGGGACCGAAAGGGCUCGCGCUGGAGGAGCGGCCGAUGUCCGAUUAGCUAGUUGGUAGGGUAAAGGCCUACCAAGGCGACGAUCGGUAGAUGGUCUGAGAGGAUGAUCAGCCACACUGGGACUGAGACACGGCCCAGACUCCUACGGGAGGCAGCAGUGGGGAAUUUUGGACAAUGGGGGCAACCCUGAUCCAGCCAUGCCGCGUGAGUGAAGAAGGCCUUCGGGUUGUAAAGCUCUUUCGUAUAGAACGAAAUCGCCUGGGUGAAUAGCCCGGGUGGAUGACGGUACUGUAAGAAGAAGCACCGGCUAACUACGUGCCAGCCGCCGCCGUAAGAC